UACGAGGGGGGCUAGCGUUGCUCGGAAUCACUGGGCGUAAAGCGCACGUAGGCGGAUUGUUAAGUCAGGGGUGAAAUCCUGGAGCUCAACUCCAGAACUGCCUUUGAUACUGGCGAUCUUGAGUCCGGGAGAGGUGAGUGGAACUGCGAGUGUAGAGGUGAAAUUCGUAGAUAUUCGCAAGAACACCAGUGGCGAAGGCGGCUCACUGGCCCGGUACUGACGCUGAGGUGCGAAAGCGUGGGAAGCAAACAGG
rnacentral:rRNA from 1 species